rnacentral:lncRNA from 1 species
UGUGACCUGUCUCUUUAACAUACGCAGCUGCAGGUGAGCGCGUGAGGCGGCUCCAGCAAUGCUGACUGCUCAUCGACGUUAUUAGACGUCUGUGUCGCGGGCCUAAAUUUGUCGCACAGACACGCCGGUUGCCUCACCUGGAUUUACGCAGACAGUCUGACCCCCAAACUACGAGGACUCCAAUUUGAGAAGCACAGUGUUCGAGGACCUCAGAGUAAAGCUGAAGGAAACCAGAAAUCCCAACCUUUGCUUGGGAAGUGGAGGAUUCCACUUUCAAGCCCCUUUUUGGCUGCUUCACGUCAAUGUAUUUUCAACCAAUGCCAAUAAAAUCCUGAUGAAACGGCAUCAGCUCAGUAGCCCGGACUCAGCUUUGUGUUCUUCAAGAGUGUGAGUCUUCAUUAAAACUUCAAUAUUUUAUGGUUGUGGUGUUUGAACUGGGAUCAGCAUGUUUUUGAUGUGUCACUUCUGUAACACAUUGGCAUCUGAUGAAAUGAUAUCAUGCAUCU